AUUUCAUAUGCAUUUACCUUUCAACAUAAUAAAAGCCCUUUUAGAAAUCUUACAGAAAUGAAGAAUGCCCUGAAAGGCUCACCAGUAGAUUUAAGAGAUAUAAGGAAAGAAUUUUCUGUAGAACAUAUAUAAGGGUUAGUUAACAUAAAGAUAGGCCACUAGAAAUUACAUAAACUGUAAUGGAAGGACUAGAGAGAGACAGAGACAGAGACAGAGAGAGAGGGGGGAGGUUGGAGAGAGAAGCAGAUAAUCGUUAACUCCUGGAAGAAGAAAAGUGUAAGAACUCUCCCCGUCUCCUUCUCCCACUCUCUGAUUUGAACCAAUGAAAACUGUAGUCCUUUAAUAAGAAAUGGCUUCUUUACACUAAUUAUCAAUUGAUGGUAACAAUUACACGGUGAUGAGAGGCAUUUGCUGACAAAGGGAGCAUGUAGCCCUAUUUUGCAGGAUGUUUUAGGGUAAAUACUGUGGGCUCCUUCCUCUGCAGUCUAUGGGUCUUAGCUGUGUGUGCAGAGCACCACUUCCUCUCACUAAAUCAGCCCUCAGGUUUGCUCUGUGAUCAGCCCAGUAUUCAACCACCUCUCCUGACAAGACCUGGCACGAUGCUGCUCCCGACACAGGUCAUCCUGGUGGCCUCCCUGUGGAGCUAUACAAAGGCAGACAUUUUAAUAACGCAACUCAUACCAUCCAUUACCAAGAAACAAGGAAACACAGCAUUUUUAGAAUGCCAAAUAAAAACAGGUGGCUUAAGGAAUAAUGUGUAUAUUCACUGGUACCGACAGAAGCCAGACCAGCCUCUAAAACGAAUUCUGUAUAUUUCUUCAAAUGAAAAUGUGGUCCACGAACAAGAGGUUGAUGAGGAAAGAUAUGAAGCCAGGAAGCGGCAGAGGGAUUUGCCAUCGAGUCUCAGGAUACACCGAGUUGAAGAGGCAGAUGCUGGGCUGUAUUACUGCGCCUGCUGGGAUACACUGUGUGGAAAUGCUCCCCGGCCACUGAACAAAAACCCUCCCACAGCUCCACACCCCUGCAAACACAUGCAUGCUCCUUCCUACCUGCCAGAGGGACCUGGCUAUUGUCUCUACCAGGCUUUUCUUCUGUGUCUGUGUCCUCAGCAAGUUCUGAGCUAGGAGCCCAAGCACCCAAUCUGUGAUGUUUUUUUCAGUUAGGUCACUUUAUCUUCUAUUUACCCCCCUGGGGCCUCAGUUGGCUUUUGUUAGUGACCUCACUGGUGU
rnacentral:lncRNA from 1 species